rnacentral:rRNA from 1 species
GAUAAACGCUGGCGGCGUGCAUAAUACAUUCAAGUCGAACGGGAAUCGAAUGAUUGAGACUUCGGUCGAUUGAUUUCGAGGAUAGUGGCGGACGGGUGAGUAACGCGUGAGCAACCUGCCUUUGUGAGGGGGAUAACACAGGGAAACUUGUGCUAAUACCGCAUAAUGCAUAUCGAUUGCAUGGUUGAUACGUUAAAGGAGCAAUCCGCAUAAAGAUGGGCUCGCGUCUGAUUAGAUAGUUGGUGAGGUAACGGCUCACCAAGUCGACGAUCAGUAGCCGGACUGAGAGGUUGAACGGCCACAUUGGAACUGAGAUACGGUCCAGACUCCUACGGGAGGCAGCAGUGGGAAUAUUGGGCAAUGGGCGAAAGCCUGACCCAGCGACGCCGCGUGAGGGAAGAAGGUCUUCGGAUUGUAAACCUUUGUUGACAGGGAAGAAGAAAGUGACGGUACCUGUAAAGAAAGCCAACGGCUAACUACGUGCCAGCAGCCG